rnacentral:lncRNA from 10 species
ACUUGGACAAGGUUGUGUCUGUCAAAUGUCUGCUGCUUGGAGCCGGCACCUUGGGUUGCAAUGUAGCUAGGACGUUGAUGGGUUGGGGCGUGAGACACAUCACAUUUGUGGACAAUGCCAAGAUCUCCUACUCCAAUCCUGUGAGGCAGCCUCUCUAUGAGUUUGAAGAUUGCCUAGGGGGUGGUAAGCCCAAGGCUCUGGCAGCAGCGGACCGGCUCCAGAAAAUAUUCCCCGGUGUGGUAUGUUGUUGCUUUUGCAGAGGUUUUCUGUUAUAUGUAUAAAUGUUUAAGUCUUGGGAAAUGAGGCCUGUGGCAUUGAAGAAAGAGAGUCAGAUAUCUGUCACUUUCUACCAGCCACUCGCUAUGUGGCUGAACCUCUGUUUCCUCAUCUCAGAGAGGGAUAAAAAAACACAACCAGGUCAGGCAUGGUGGCUCAUACCUGCAAUCCCAGUGUGUCUGGAGUUGGUUCCUUCAGUGCGUUCUUGGUCUUGCUGACUUCAAGAAUGAAGCCGCGGACCUUCGCAGUGAGUGUUACAGCUCUUAAAGAUGAUGUGUCCAGAGUUUGUUCCUUCAGAUGUGUCUGGAGUUUCUUCCUUCCAGUGGGUUCGUGGGGUUCCUUCCGGUGGGUUCUUGGUCUUGCUGACUUCAAGAAUGAAGCUGCAGACCUUCGCAGUGAGUGUUACAGCUCUUAAAGAUGAUGUGUCUGGAGUUUGUUCCUUCAGAUGUGUCUGGAGUUUGGUGGGUUCAUAGUCUCGCUGACUUUAAGAAUGAAGCCACGGACGUUCGCAUGUUACAGCUCUUAAAGGUGGUGUGGACCCAAAGAGUGAGCAGCAGCAAGAUUUAUUGUGAAGAACAAAAGAACAAAGCUUCCACAGCGUGGAAGGGGACCCAAGUGGGUUGCUGCUGCUGGCUGGGGUGGCCAGUUUUUAUUCCCUGAUUUGUCCCCACCCAC